UACGUAGGGGGCGAGCGUUGUCCGGAUUUAUUGGGCGUAAAGCGCUCGCAGGCGGUCCGAUGCGUCGUGCGUGAAAGCCCCCGGCUCAACUGGGGAGGGUCAUUCGAUACUGAUCGACUGGAAGGCAGGAGAGGGAAGCGGAAUUCCCGGUGUAGUGGUGAAAUGCGUAGAUAUCGGGAGGAACACCAGUGGCGAAGGCGGCUUCCUGGCCUGUUCUUGACGCUGAGGCGCGAAAGCUAGGGGAGCAAACGGG
rnacentral:rRNA from 1 species